UGGUUAGGAAAAAGAUAAGGAGAGAAUGUUUCAAUUUGUUGUCAGGUUUUAAUCUAAUUUGCUAACCUAAAUCUGAUCUGCCAGGAUACAUUCUCUAGGCUGUAAAAGUGGUAACUGCAGUUGCUUUAAAUUGCACAAAGAUAUGUCCACUUGCAUAUUUGCUGGUGUGUUUCUGAUGCAGGUCCCUUGGUCCCUCGGCCCACUUGGAAGUAUUGGGCCUGUGUCAGUUUCAUUCAUCUAGUUGCUUUUCCAAGAGGAGAUGAUUUGUUUUUUGGGGGUUUGAAAUUUUCUCCUUUUUUUUUGUUUUUUUAAGCCCUUCAAUUACAAUUGCGUCUUUAAGAGGAAAGCUUGACGGUCAGCUCUGGUUCUCGAGUGGUGUGCAAGAUCAAAAGGCCUUUGCAAACCAACAUUUUCCCCUAUUCCUUGCCUAGUUGUAGAUUAAGCAACAAGAAACUCUCGAGCCAUGUGGUAGAAGGUGCGCUUGCACUACAGCACCUGAGUUGCUAGAGGCAUCUAGAUUUUCAAUUGUGUCUAUAGGUUGCGAGUAAGACACGUUAGUCUUCUAAUCGACUGCCAUCUAUAAUUGCUUUAGUAUAGUUUCUCUGCCGUAGUCUUUUCCUUGCUGGAGCUUGUAGUUCUGAUGUAAUUUGGGAAAUGAAUGUCUCAAAAUGGGUCUUGGUUCUGAGUUCCCUUUAUCAGAAGCGAGGCAAAAGUUUU
rnacentral:misc_RNA from 1 species